UGGGGAAUAUUGCACAAUGGGCGAAAGCCUGAUGCAGCAACGCCGCGUGAGUGAUGAAGGCCUUCGGGUUGUAAAGCUCUGUCUUUUGGGACGAUAAUGACGGUACCAAAGGAGGAAGCCACGGCUAACUACGUGCCAGCAGCCGCGGUAAUACGUAGGUGGCAAGCGUUGUCCGGAUUUACUGGGCGUAAAGGAUGCGUAGGCGGAUUUUAAGUGAGAUGUGAAAUACCCGGGCUUAACUUGGGUGCUGCAUUUCAAACUGGGAAUCUAGAGUGCGGGAGAGGAGAAUGGAAUUCCUAGUGUAGCGGUGAAAUGCGUAGAGAUUAGGAAGAACACCAGUGGCGAAGGCGAUUCUCUGGACCGUAACUGACGCUGAGGCAUGAAAGCGUGGGUAGCAAACAGGAUUAGAUACCCUGGUAGUCCACGCCGUAAACGAUGAGUACUAGGUGUAGGAGGUAUCGACCCCUUCUGUGCCGCAGUUAACACAAUCAAGUACUCCGCCUGGGAAGUACGAUCGCAAGAUUAAAAACUUGAAAUG
rnacentral:rRNA from 1 species